ensembl:lncRNA
GUGAAGAAGAAGUGACAAUAAACAUUUAAUGAAGCCAGAGACCUCGCACCCGUCUCCAAGCAGUGUCAGAAUAAUUCCAAAAGAACGUUAGUAGUACGGCGGCUCCAUUUGACUGACAUCAAAAAAGCGAAUGAAAAAAUGAUAAUAACCCCAUUUAAACUGAUGCGGUGUUUAUUCACAUUGACCAAAGACUUGACCUUGUCCUCUCCUCGAAUAUUUCUACCACAAGAUAUUGGAGGAUGUAGUUUGAAGGCUCUACUUUCCCACUGCGUUCAGAAAAACGAAAUUCUAAAUGCAGAAGCCAGUCUCUACAGCUCGAGCCGCUCCACCCGGGCAGAACACCGCGCCAUGCAGCCCGCACCUCACGCAACUGCAAUAAUUCAGCCUGGCGAACAGCUCCCUUGCAGAUUGAAGAGUAAUGCAUUAUUGAAAGGCUAUAUCAAACAGCUCGGGGGGGGGGGGUUGUCUUUUUUGUUGUUGCUCUGCUCUCCUCAGACCGACCGACCGGCCAGGCAGGGGCUCGAGAUGAAGUCCCGGUGUCUGACGGAACUAAAGCUCCUAAUAUGUUAAUGACCGUAGGGGAUGCCGGAAGGUACUGGCCCGGUUUACUACCGGCCUCAGCUGCCGCAGCACCAUAUGUCAACCAGGUUGGCCACGUGUAUAUCUAUUAAUCAAGAAGAUGUUUCAUAUUAAAAAACAACAACUUAUUAAACAAUAUCCAUUCCAGUUAAACCAAUAAUAACUACUAUAGCACCAGUAAUGGCGACACAAAUGCCAAAUAAAAAAU